GUUUUGCGGUUUUGAGUUGCUGUGGGGCUGACGAUGUAUUUAUACAGUUUUUUCUGGUUUCGUUUUGCUUGCUUGUCAGGUGGCUUUAUAAAUCUCAUUUUUUAUGUGAGUCAGCUUUCUGUUGCUGUGACAACAUACCUGAGGCAGACAAUAAAAGAAAUGUAAGGAACGUUAAGGUUUGAUCACGUCAGAAGUUUCCAUCCAUGCUUGGGCAGCUUCUUGGCAGAGAAUGGAUGGAGAAGGGGUCUGGUCAUCUCUCAGUGGCCAAGAAGCAAAAGAAGAAAGAAGGGAUUUGGACCUUAACAGUUCCUUCAAAGCCAUACCAUCGUUUUCGUCCCUUAGGUCUGACCUCCAUCACCUUCCAACAUCACCACAGGCUGAUGACUGAGUCUUCAGCAAAUAGGAUCUACGAUCCAAAUGGGCUACUGCCUGGAAAAGCAGUAUUGAGUGAGAUUUCCUUUGUUCAUGAGAGUCAUGCCCUGUGGUAGAAGAUGUUGGGUGCCACAGUGGAGUAUUGACUGAAGAAAGUCAGCUAGUGUGUUGAGUUUGCACCGUGAAGUAGUCAGCAGAGGUUCACAUGUGGACAAAGAUGGAAUGUGACCUUAUCAUUGGGGAAUUCUAAUCCGUAUAAUAAACAGCGCACAAAUAGGCAGGCACAGCUCAACUAUGACAUAGAUAUAUGUGACACACAUGGAGGGAGCCAGAGAAACAGCUCAAUAGUUAAGUGAGCGGACUGCGGCAUGGGAUAGACAUGGAAGCAGAGAGACCACCGCGGCUGGAGAGUAGCCGGAGAUAGCGUGGAUUGAUUUUGUGUUUUUGAUAAUUACCUCAACAUAACUUAAGGGAGAAAGGGUUUGUUACAGCUCACAGUUUGGGAGUGUAGUCCUUCAAGGCUGGAAAGUCAAAAUAGCAGGAGCUUAAAGCAGCACCACAUUACAUCCAGAAUGAGAACACGGAUAGUGAUGCACGCAUGCGCAGCUUAGCUUUCCUUCUCGGUUCUGUAACAUCCAGGAUCUCCUGCCCACAGUACUCAGUUAACGUAAUCAGGAUGAUCCCUCACAGACAUUCGCAGAGGCGAGCUAAAGCCUCACAGGCACGUCCCACCCGGUCCUAGAGUCUGGCAAGUUGACAUUUAACACUAUCACAGAAUCAAAUUCUUAACCCUGUUAGUUAGUGAAGGUAAGAAAAAGGGGCUGCUCCCCGAAUGCCCUGGAAAAUAUCUACGUAUAGCUUAAACUUCAGGAGGUGAUGGAGAAAGGGCAGGGAUACGUUGGUUUUCUUUUUAAGCCUUCCAAAACUCUGUGGGAAAUAAUUAAAUCGUAGCAACUGAAUCUCCAAAUUAAAAUUUCCAGAUGUUUUCUUCAGUGUGACUGGAGGAAGAAAUAGACUAUUUUCUGGAUCAUUUACAUUUGAGUUAUUGGACUUUAGAUUUUUUUAAAUAAAUAAAUGUUUCAUCUGUAACUGUGAUUUUAACUGUAUUACAGCUAUCCGAGAAUCUCAUUUUACUUAUUUGAUAUGUGCUUGGAAUCAUGGCAACAUGGCCACUCUAACAGGACUGGUGCCCUGGCCUUUCUUUAGGCUAACACUCCUUGAGAUACACUUAGUGUUCUGCCUCUGCAUUCAUUUUUGUAUCUCCAAUAAAAAAAUAUAGAUACAUAGAUAGAUAUACAGACAGACAGGUAGAUUUUAAAUCACAGAGCAUGAAAACACUUUCAAGGAAGAUUUAAAUAAAACAUUAAGCAGGGAAUUAUUAUAAAAACGUUGCCAAAGCUGGCUGUACCUAGAGUGAUAAGCAUCUGAGAAGCUGAGACAGGAGAAAUUAUAGGCUUGACGUUGUUAGUGGGAUGAAGAGUAGCAGCCUGUCUCAAAAAAUAAAAACGAACCCAAACCAAACAUAUGAAGCUGGGAGUCCAUUCUGUUUAUCAGACAAAACACUCUGGAGUGGGUACAACAAUGUCUACACUUAGGCAGAGGCGGGCUUAUUACCCGGUCAUCAGUUCAAGGGUCUACACAGGGCUACCUGAUAACGCCCCAUCUCAAAGAAAAAUAGUAAUAAUGGUAAUGAUAAUAGAUAGAUGAUUGAUAGAUAGAUAGAUGAUCAAUAGAUAAAUGAUAGGUGAUAGAUAGAUGAUCAGUAAAUAGAUGAUAGAGAGAUAGAGAUAGAGAUGAUAGAUGACUAGUAGAUAGAUGAUAGAGAGAUAGAUGAUAGAUGAUCAGUAGAUAGAUGUAGAUAGAUUAUAGAUAGACUGAUGUGUUAAAAUCUCAGCUCCCAUCUGAACAUAGCAAGCACACUGAGCCCAAGCAGUUCCACGUGUGAGAGGUUUAUUGGGGGUGGGGGAAGAGAG
rnacentral:lncRNA from 1 species